CUUUGGCUGAUAAGAAAAAGAAAGACGUGUAAAGAUACUCUCCAUGUGUUUAAAGAUGCCAGAACCAACUGAUGCGAUGAUAACCACGCCAUUUUACCAGCAACAGCAGUAUGAAGUAUCCAAGUUCCUGAAGAUCAAGCCGUUGGUUUUGGGGAUUUUGGAAAUAUUGAUAGCCUUAUUGGGACUCGGUUUGACUAUCUGGAAUGAGAGUUUUUUCGUUAUCUGGUCACCAAUCAUUUUCAUCAUAAUUGGAGCUAUAACAGUCUCGGCUGCACACACACGUACACCGCGUCUGGUCAAAACCUCUCAAAUGCUCAGCUAUGCAAAUUUUGCAGUAGUUGUUUUCUCCCUCCGCGCUCACUUUAUUUACAUUCGGUCAACCCCUGUCAUGGUCAGUUAUGUGACCACAGAUAUGCCUGUCAACCACAUCAUGCAGAUGGGCCAGCCGGACCCCUCUGCAGAGGCCCAGCCUAUUAGUUCAGUCAUGUACGUGCUGCCAGCAGCACACGGCUCAGUCCCACCUGCGACUCUGCCAAAUUACGGUCACGUCCCCAAUGCAUCUCCACCAAUGUACAGUCCAGUACCAACUACACCUCCAUCCAACUACGACAAAGUCUCUGAUGCACUUCCACCAAAGUACUGUCCAGUCCCAACUGCUUCUCCACCAGCAUAUGAGCAUGAAGAUUUUCAGACCAGAAGAUGAAUAAUAUCUCAGACAAAAAUUGGAAUGUUUGACAUUUACUAAAUUUUUUGUGUAAUGGUGAAUGGAAAACCAAAAAUUAUACUUAUAAGUUUGUAAAUCGAAUGGAUGAGAAACAUGCAUCAGAGUCUUACGUUUUCAUUAUGUUUAAUUCGUUAUGUUUUCCACCA
rnacentral:lncRNA from 1 species